AUUGAACGCUGGCGGCAUGCCUUACACAUGCAAGUCGAACGGCAGCACGGGUGCUUGCCCCUGGUGGCGAGUGGCGAACGUGUGAGUAAUACAUCGGCACAUGUCCUGUAGUGGGGGAUAGCCCGGCGAAAGCCGGAUUAAUACCGCAUACGAUCUACGGAUGAAAGCGGGGGCCCUUCGGGCCUCGCGCUAUAGGGUUGGCCGAUGGCUGAUUAGCUAGUUGGUGGGGUAAAGGCCUACCAAGGCGACGAUCAGUAGCUGGUCUGAGAGGACGACCAGCCACACUGGGACUGAGACACGGCCCAGACUCCUACGGGAGGCAGCAGUGGGGAAUUUUGGACAAUGGGCGAAAGCCUGAUCCAGCAAUGCCGCGUGUGUGAAGAAGGCCUUCGGGUUGUAAAGCACUUUUGUCCGGAAAGAAAUCCUUGGCCCUAAUACGGUCGGGGGAUGACGGUACCGGAAGAAUAAGCACCGGCUAACUACGUG
rnacentral:rRNA from 1 species